rnacentral:rRNA from 1 species
GAUGAACGCUGGCGGCGUGCUUAACACAUGCAAGUCGAACGGGCAAUCUUUCAUUGUGGCUUCGGUGGAUUUGAUUUAUUUCUAGUAGCGGACGGGUGAGUAACGCGUGGGUAACCUGCCUUAUACAGGGGGAUAACAGGCAGAAAUGGCUGCUAAUACCGCAUAAGCGCACAGAGCUGCAUGGCUCCGUGUGCAAAACUCCGGUGGUCUAAGAUGGACCGGCGUUGGAUUAGCUAGUUGGUGGGGUAACGGCCCACCAAGGCGACGAACCAUAGCCGGCCUGAGGGGGUGCCCUGCCACCUUGGGACUGCGGCACGGCCCAGACUCCUACGGGAGGCAGCAGUGGGGACUAUUGCACAAUGGGGGAAACCCUGAUGCAGCGACGCCGCGUGAAGGCAGAAGUACCUCGGUACGUAAACUUCUCUCAGCAGGGAAGAUAGUGACGGUCCCUGACUAAGAAGCCCCGGCUAAUUACGUG